UAGGGAAGUCUUCCACAAUGGACGCAAGUCUGAUGGAGCAGCGCCGCGUGAGUGAAGAAGGUCUUCGGAUCGUAAAACUCUGUUGUUAGAGAAGAACACGAGUGAGAGUAACUGUUCAUUCGAUGACGGUAUCUAACCAGCAAGUCACGGCUAACUACGUGCCAG
rnacentral:rRNA from 1 species